rnacentral:rRNA from 1 species
UACGAAGGGGGCUAGCGUUGUUCGGAAUCACUGGGCGUAAAGCGCACGUAGGCGGAUGUGCCAGUCAGGGGUGAAAUCCCGGAGCUCAACUCCAGAACUGCCUUUGAUACUGGCAACCUAGAGACUGGAAGAGGUUAGUGGAAUUCCCAGUGUAGAGGUGAAAUUCGUAGAUAUUGGGAAGAACACCAGCGGCGAAGGCGGCUAACUGGUCCAGCACUGACGCUGAGGUGCGAAAGCGUGGGGAGCAAACAGG